rnacentral:misc_RNA from 1 species
CCGUUGGCGCAGAUUGUAGUGACCCCGCUUUCUGCUCCGAGGGUUGUGAGCUCGAUUCACACAUACGUAUAUCGAAAAAAAAAAUAUAGCUAUACCAGUAGGCUGUUAUCUGUAACACAAGCAUUAAUUUGAUUACUUUAGGAACAAAGGACCGUGUGUAUAUUGUGUAGAUAUUUAUAAAUUUUAUUUUUUGUCAUUAAACAAAUUUGAAGAUCAAAAAAAAUCUAGUAGAUACAUUUUGUUAUAUUUUUUCAAGCUACUAAUGAACCGCUUCUGAGUAAAAAGCUAUUAACUGGCCUAGUAAGCACUUAACGACAUGUUUCGAAAAAGAAUCAAAAUUAAAUACAAGUCCAAAAGCGAGGCACAUAAAGCUUGUAUAUGGUCAUUUAUGGGUAUAACCGAAGUGGCCUUCUAAAGUAAUUGCAACGACGCUCAAGAAACCAUUGAAUAUUUUAAGUGCUUGAAAAUGUGUCUCUUGGAUUAAAGCUAAAAAUCAGUCUGUAUCUUUUCUUAUAUUUUAAAAAUGUA